GAAUUCGCCCUUAGAGUUUGAUCCUUGCUCAGGACGAACGCUGGCGGCGCGCCUAACACAUGCAAGUCGAACGAGCGAGAGAGAGCUUGCUUUCUCGAGCGAGUGGCGAACGGGUGAGUAACGCGUGAGGAACCUGCCUCAAAGAGGGGGACAACAGUUGGAAACGACUGCUAAUACCGCAUAAGCCCACGGUGCCGCAUGGCACAGAGGGAAAAGGAGCAAUCCGCUUUGAGAUGGCCUCGCGUCCGAUUAGCUAGUUGGUGAGGUAACGGCCCACCAAGGCGACGAUCGGUAGCCGGACUGAGAGGUUGAACGGCCACAUUGGGACUGAGACACGGCCCAGACUCCUACGGGAGGCAGCAGUGGGGAAUAUUGCACAAUGGGGGAAACCCUGAUGCAGCGACGCCGCGUGGAGGAAGAAGGUCUUCGGAUUGUAAGCUCCUGUUGUUGGGGAAGAUAAUGACGGUACCCAACAAGGAAGUGACGGCUAACUACGUGCCAGCAGCCGCGGUAAAACGUAGGUCACAAGCGUUGUCCGGAAUUACUGGGUGUAAAGGGAGCGCAGGCGGGAAGACAAGUUGGAAGUGAAAUCUAUGGGCUCAACCCAUAAACUGCUUUCAAAACUGUUUUUCUUGAGUAGUGCAGAGGUAGGCGGAAUUCCCGGUGUAGCGGUGGAAUGCGUAGAUAUCGGGAGGAACACCAGUGGCGAAGGCGGCCUACUGGGCACCAACUGACGCUGAGGCUCGAAAGUGUGGGUAGCAAACAGGAUUAGAUACCCUGGUAGUCCACACCGUAAACGAUGAUUACUAGGUGUUGGAGGAUUGACCCCUUCAGUGCCGCAGUUAACACAAUAAGUAAUCCACCUGGGGAGUACGACCGCAAGGUUGAAACUCAAAGGAAUUGACGGGGGCCCGCACAAGCAGUGGAGUAUGUGGUUUAAUUCGACGCAACGCGAAGAACCUUACCAAGUCUUGACAUCCCUUGACAGACAUAGAAAUAUGUAAUCUCUUCGGAGCAAGGAGACAGGUGGUGCAUGGUUGUCGUCAGCACGUGUCGUGAGAUGUUGGGUUAAGUCCCGCAACGAGCGCAACCCUUAUGGUCAGUUACUACGCAAGAGGACUCUGGCCAGACUGCCGUUGACAAAACGGAGGAAGGUGGGGAUGACGUCAAAUCAUCAUGCCCUUUAUGACUUGGGCUACACACGUACUACAAUGGCGUUAAACAAAGAGAAGCAAGACCGCGAGGUGGAGCAAAACUCAGAAACAACGUCCCAGUUCGGACUGCAGGCUGCAACUCGCCUGCACGAAGUCGGAAUUGCUAGUAAUCGUGGAUCAGCACGCCCCGGUGAAAACGUUCCCGGGCCUUGCACA
rnacentral:rRNA from 1 species